rnacentral:lncRNA from 1 species
ACAAAGGUAUGCUUUCUAUUAAUAAAUUUAUGAACAAAUUGAAGUCGAGGAUGAUAGAAGCAUGUGCUCUAUAUGAGUCAAUAUCUACUCAAGAGGAUUUCAUCAACUACCUUCAAUGGCCUGCAAAUAAACCAUUUUACUUUAGGUGGGGAAAUGUUGAUGCUAGUGGAAAUAGGGAAGGAGAGGGGCAAUAUCAAGCUAAUGAGGAGGAAGAAG